GCCUGCAAGAACCCAUGUCUUCUCCCAAUGAAAUGAAAUGUUCUGACUCAGGUUCCAGCUGCUUCUUGUGUCUUUGGAUGAAACUCUGAUCAUCCCUACAGCAACCUGCAGGGAACUUGGAGGGAGGAGCACAGGCUGCAGAAGCAUAUAAGGUAAAGAAGUUCAACAACCCAAAGACUCUCUGCCCCCACCAUGCAACUGGAAAGAAACACACUGAGGAGAGAAGGCCUAGAAUU
rnacentral:lncRNA from 1 species